rnacentral:rRNA from 1 species
GACGAACGCUGGCGGCGUGCUUAACACAUGCAAGUCGAGCGGUGAACCACCUUCGGGUGGGGAUCAGCGGCGAACGGGUGAGUAACACGUGGGCAACCUGCCCUCAGCUCUGGGAUAACUCCGGGAAACCGGGGCUAAUACCGGAUACGACUUCCUGCGGCAUCUUGGGAAGUGGAAAGUUUUUCGGCUGAGGAUGGGCCCGCGGCCUAUCAGCUUGUUGGUGGGGUAAUGGCCCACCAAGGCGACGACGGGGAGCCGGCCUGAGAGGGCGACCGGCCACACUGGGACUGAGACACUGCCCGGACUCCUACGGGGGGCGUGCAGUAACGAAUCUUCCGCAAUGCACGAAGUAGUGACGGAGCGACGCCGCGUGGAGGACGAAGUCCUUCGG